rnacentral:rRNA from 1 species
AACGAACGCUGGCGGCAUGCCUAACACAUGCAAGUCGAACGAAGCCUUCGGGCUUAGUGGCGCACGGGUGCGUAACACGUGGGAAUCUGCCUCUAGGUAGGGAAUAACUCAGGGAAACUUGUGCUAAUACCCUAUGAUGUCUUCGGACCAAAGAUUUAUCGCCUAGAGAUGAGCCCGCGUCGGAUUAGCUAGUUGGUGAGGUAAAGGCUCACCAAGGCUACGAUCCGUAGCUGGUCUGAGAGGAUGAUCAGCCACACUGGGACUGAGACACGGCCCAGACUCCUACGGGAGGCAGCAGUGGGGAAUAUUGGACAAUGGGCGAAAGCCUGAUCCAGCAAUGCCGCGUGAGUGAAGAAGGCCUUCGGGUUGUAAAGCUCUUUUACCCGGGAAGAUAAUGACUGUACCGGGAGAAUAAGCCCCGGCUAACUCCGUGCCAACAGCCGCGGUAAAACGUCUACUG